rnacentral:rRNA from 1 species
CCUACGGGUGGCAGCAGUCGAGAAUCAUUCACAAUGGGGGAAACUCUGAUGCUGCGACGCAGCGUGGGGGAAUGCAGGUCUUCGGAUUGUAAACCUCUGUCAUGUGGGAGCAAAUUAAAAAGAUAGUACCACAAGAGGAAGAGCCGGCUAACUCUGUGCCAGCAGCCGCGUUACUACAGAGGUCUCAAGCGUUGUUCGGAAUCACUGGUCGUAAAGCGUGCGUAGGCUGUUUCGUAAGUCGUGUGUGAAAGGCGGGGGCUCAACCCGAGGACGGCACAUGAUACUGCGAGACUAGAGUAAAGGAGGGGGAACCGGAAUUCGCGGUGUAGCAGUGAAAUGCGUAGAUAUCGAGAGGAACACUCGUGGCGAAGGCGGGUUCCUGGACAUUAACUGACGCUGAGGCACGAAGGCCAGGGGAGCGAAAGGGAUUAGAUACCCCGGUAGUC